rfam:Myotis brandtii contig174524, whole genome shotgun sequence.
GGCAGUUCUCAGGUAACAAACCCUGGAAUCGGGCUCCCUCCUCUCUGGUUCCGGGUGCAUCACCUGAGAACCACA